rnacentral:rRNA from 1 species
UUGGAGAGUUUGAUUCUGGCUCAGGACGAACGCUGGCGGCGUGCUUAACACAUGCAAGUCGAACGGUAAGGCCCUUCGGGGUACACGAGUGGCGAACGGGUGAGUAACACGUGGGUAAUCUGCCCUGCACAUCGGGAUAAGCCUGGGAAACUGGGUCUAAUACCGAAUAGGACCACAGAACACAUGUCCUGUGGUGGAAAGCUUUUGCGGUGUGGGAUGGGCCCGCGGCCUAUCAGCUUGUUGGUGGGGUGAUGGCCCACCAAGGCGACGACGGGUAGCCGGCCUGAGAGGGUGUCCGGCCACACUGGGACUGAGAUACGGCCCAGACUCCUACGGGAGGCAGCAGUGGGGAAUAUUGCACAAUGGGCGAAAGCCUGAUGCAGCGACGCCGCGUGGGGGAUGACGGCCUUCGGGUUGUAAACCUCUUUCACCAUCGACGAAGGUCCGGGUGUUCUCGGGCUGACGGUAGGUGGAGAAGAAGCACCGGCCAACUACGUGCCAGCAGCCGCGGUAAUACGUAGGGUGCGAGCGUUGUCCGGAAUUACUGGGCGUAAAGAGCUCGUAGGUGGUUUGUCGCGUUGUUCGUGAAAUCUCACGGCUUAACUGUGAGCGUGCGGGCGAUACGGGCAGACUUGAGUACUGCAGGGGAGACUGGAAUUCCUGGUGUAGCGGUGGAAUGCGCAGAUAUCAGGAGGAACACCGGUGGCGAAGGCGGGUCUCUGGGCAGUAACUGACGCUGAGGAGCGAAAGCGUGGGGAGCGAACAGGAUUAGAUACCCUGGUAGUCCACGCCGUAAACGGUGGGUACUAGGUGUGGGUUUCCUUCCUUGGGAUCCGUGCCGUAGCUAACGCAUUAAGUACCCCGCCUGGGGAGUACGGCCGCAAGGCUAAAACUCAAAGAAAUUGACGGGGGCCCGCACAAGCGGCGGAGCAUGUGGAUUAAUUCGAUGCAACGCGAAGAACCUUACCUGGGUUUGACAUGCACAGGACGCCGGCAGAGAUGUCGGUUCCCUUGUGGCCUGUGUGCAGGUGGUGCAUGGCUGUCGUCAGCUCGUGUCGUGAGAUGUUGGGUUAAGUCCCGCAACGAGCGCAACCCUUGUCUCAUGUUGCCAGCGGGUAAUGCCGGGGACUCGUGAGAGACUGCCGGGGUCAACUCGGAGGAAGGUGGGGAUGACGUCAAGUCAUCAUGCCCCUUAUGUCCAGGGCUUCACACAUGCUACAAUGGCCGGUACAAAGGGCUGCGAUGCCGCGAGGUUAAGCGAAUCCUUUUAAAGCCGGUCUCAGUUCGGAUCGGGGUCUGCAACUCGACCCCGUGAAGUCGGAGUCGCUAGUAAUCGCAGAUCAGCAACGCUGCGGUGAAUACGUUCCCGGGCCUUGUACACACCGCCCGUCACGUCAUGAAAGUCGGUAACACCCGAAGCCAGUGGCCUAACCCUUUGGGAGGGAGCUGUCGAAGGUGGGAUCGGCGAUUGGGACGAAGUCGUAACAAGGUAGCCGUACCGGAAGGUGCGGCUGGAUCACCUCCUUU